AUUGAACGCUGGCGGCAUGCUUUACACAUGCAAGUCGAACGGUAACAGGGUGCUUGCACCGCUGACGAGUGGCGAACGGGUGAGUAACGCGUCGGAACGCACCGAGUAAUGGGGGAUAACGCAGCGAAAGCUGUGCUAAUACCGCAUACGCUCUGAGGAGGAAAGCGGGGGACCUUCGGGCCUCGCGUUAUUCGAGCGGCCGACGUCUGAUUAGCUAGUAGGUGAGGUAAGAGCUCACCUAGGCGACGCGCAGUAGCGGGUCUGAGAGGAUGAUCCGCCACACUGGGACUGAGACACGGCCCAGACUCCUGCGGGAGGCAGCAGUGGGGAAUUUUGGACAAUGGGCGCAAGCCUGAUCCAGCCAUGCCGCGUGUCUGAAGAAGGCCUUCGGGUUGUAAGGGACUUUUGUCAGGGAGGAAAUCCUUAGCGCUAAUACCGUUGAGGGAUGACAGUACCUGAAGAAUAAGCACCGGCUAACUACGUGCCAGCAGCCGCUGUAA
rnacentral:rRNA from 1 species